AAUCAGUACAAAGCGAAGGCAAAGUUGUUUGUUUCCGAGAUACUUCCUGCACCUGCGAUGCUGUCAGUGAUUUUUGAAGUUAUCUUUUCAUUGUGAGCAGAGGAAGAAUGGUGGGAGAGGAAAAGAUGCACCGUAGACGCCAAAACAGUGAUCCUCUGGAAACGCUGAUAAAUGAAAUGCUAAUGAAUCAUAGAGUGGUUAUGUUUUGCAGAGUCUAGUUUUAUUCUGAUUUCAGAGCCUUGACACAGUUUUCAUUUAAAUGUCAUUGGAUGCAUUUCGGUAAUAAAGACAACUGUCAUUUUACUUUAAAAAAUAAAACUAGAAAUGUAAAUUUAAUUCUACAGGAUUUCGUUAAUAUUGUUCACGCGAGAAAGUCACAAUUAUGGUAUUACUUGCAACAGUGAACAUUAAUAAGUCCCGUGUGAUACUGUCAUUUGCUAAUUGGAAAGAGAAGCAUCUUUCAAACUUGGAAAGUCAGAGAAUGUCUUAUACCGUACGUGUAAAAAGUGACUUGAAUCUUCCAUUGGGCUCCAGGGGAAUCUCAAUACCAGGAAAACGAGUGAUGGGUCAGCUCCAUUGUGGAAAGUCAGUAAAUAUUUAAUAAUUAGUCUGCAUUGGAUUGCUGCACUAUAUAUACUCCAAAUGAUACAAUAUGGAAAUACUUCAAUUCUGAUCAUCUUUGGGUUUCAAAUCACUCAUACCUAUUUGUAAAUUGUAUUAAUCAGGUUUGAAGCGAAACUUCUAAUCAUUUGGAUCUAUCUAAAUGCCAAUAUGAUUCCCCACUUAAUAGAAAUGUUGGGCAGAAUGAAAAAUAUUUUGGAACCUAUCCUUGGUACCCAGAGCACAGUUUACCCUUCCUAAUGUCUCUUGUCUGUCUUCACUUUUAGGAAUCCAUGAUUCUGGCAUAUGUCAACAUGUUAAAAACCUGUGAUAGUUUCUUUUAUGCAGCCUUACUUUUCAACUAUCCAUCCACCCAUCUUUGUUAAAGAAGCUCAGGUGCUGCCCUGUAUGGGUGUUUGAAAUGAGGAGCUGACAUUUUUGGGGGGAGGUAGUCGGCAAUACUCCAUUGGUAAGAAUUCCUCAUCAGAUCAUAUGAAAAUGAAUUGGGCUUUCCUAUCUUUAUGUUGUUUUAGUUCUGUUCUCAAUGUGAUAUUAUCACACUGUUGGGCUGCUCAUCUCUCUUGCUUGUCUGUAUCUCCAUGUCUAGCUUGGUGCCUGGGUUGGAGCAAGGGCUUAAUGAAUGUGAGUUGAUUUGAAAUUCAGAAUGUAAUGAAGAUAUCCUGCAGGUCACAUCCUUCCUUUUAUAUUCUUGAUGAAAGCAUCUUGGGGUUGUAAAAUAUAGACCUACUAUAUAUUAGGGCUCAUAGAGGGAGCAGCAAGCAAAGCUCAGGUGGACUUUAUUACAUAUUGAUUUUGCCCUCGUGAUGAAGCAGUCUUAUAAAAUGUGUGAAGCCAGGUUGGAGCAGUAGCUUCACCACUAGGGGCCUCUUCUGCAUAGCGGAUCACCCUGGGCUGUCAUUUAGCACCAUUCCUCUGCCCUCUGAAGUAGUAGAGGCAUUUAACUUCCUGGGUACUCCACAUGGAAUACCGUAUGAGAAAAAGGCAACCUUGUGUGAAAAUCAUUACCAAAGACUCGCAAAUAAAUGAAAGUGGUCUUAAAUGAUGGAUUCAGUACGGUUUUUGAAUAAUAUUAAAGGUUUAAAGGAGAUUUAAGAGUUGGGCUUUUUACUUUUAUAUCCUAAUAUUCAGAUACAUGAUUUCUUAAAACUUAAAAACGAAUCUAAUAUAUACAUUUUGAUCUAGUAAUUUUAAAGUUUUUCUUUGUGUGUGUGUCUUUGAUGGAGCUUAUUUUCAUCUUUUGAUGUUUAAAAUUGCCUCAUCUCAGUGGGUGUUUGCAGCAACAACAGCAAGGUGAAUUAUUUCUCAAGGGAUUUUGUCUCGCCAGUUGAAGCUCCUGGUGUCUUUUCCUUUUUUAAUAAAGGGGCAGCCCAUUAAAUUCCACCAUUAAAAGUGUUUUGUCAUAUUUCAAGACGUAUAAUUGAAAGGCGCCUUUCUUCUGUGUGAGUUUUGGGAAAGCCCUCUCAUUUCUAGUUUGAAUGAAGUUAGUCAGCUCUGAAAAUAUUCACUGACAACUUAAAAGUGUUUUUAUUUAUUUGUUUUUAUUUGCCAGAUAUAAUUUGCUAUGUGGUAGAAAGAGUACAGAUAAUGUACUCUUUAACUCUUUAAUGUACUCUUUAACAAACACUAUAACUCACAAUAUUGCCAUAUUGUUUGCCAUUGAGUAAGAGAACAUUGUAUUUUCAGGUUUCCUGUGAAAUUUAAUUAUAGUGACAAACUAAACACCUUCAAUCUAUAAAGGAAAGUUAACUACAAUGACAGAAAAGUUCAGCACAUUGUGGGCCUGAAACCUUUCUAGGGGUUUCUUAACCUUAUUUAAUAGCAAAAUGUCUCUGAAUUCAGAAAAUUAUCAGACAUCCAAUUCUCAUUUUUUAUAUGGUGGAAUUUUCAACAAGACAAUCUGUUUUUUGAUGUUAUUCUGUCAAGGUCUAGGUCAGUCCUCGUUAGAGAAAGGGUAAUAGGAAUGACUUCUGUGUGAAAAUGUAGGUAGUUUUUAUCACUUUUCUCUGAUUAGGGUGAAUUUUUUGAAUUGCUUUUAAGAUUCUGUGCAUGUCAUAGUUAUGCAGAUCCUGUUUGUAAGAACUAAUAGUUUUCUAGAACCGGAAGAGAUUUGUUAUUACUUCCAAAUCCCCAACUAGAGAAGGGGAUGACACUUUCCUGACUCCUUCCUCUGCCCGUACUGAAGGUAAACCUAAGCCAAAAUGAUAGAUAUAGUGCUUUAUGCAGAACAUGAUGAUUUCCCUUGGGUGAGAACCCCGAGCAGACCAAGAUUAUAGAUGCUUGAGGUGGGAGAAAAUGAAUGGGUCUUUAUACCUGGGAGUCAUUUUUAGAAACCUGCAUUUGGGAGUGCCACCUGAAUAGGAAUGACAACUGUUUGCUAGAAUUUUCCACGAAAUGUUUUAAACCUAUCACUUAGUGAAACAUUCCCUUGCUGCGCAGAUAAUUUUUGUUGUUGUUUUUAGGCAGUGCAAAACAUAACAUUUGGUUUAUCCUGGGGUUACAUCCGCUGCUUCGUUUUAUUUUCACACACAAAGGACAUUUGAAUUGAGUGAGGAAAAGGGAAGCAGGAAACCGGGAGGAGGUGGAUGUGAAUGUCUAUUUAUACUGAACUUUGAGGCCAGCCUUUUUGCAUUCCCAAGGCACAUGGGCACCGAGGGCAGCCUCCUAUUAGGAAUUCAUGGGUGAUUUUUGUGAAUACCUUCUAAUCUGCUUUUAAAAUGGUGGUCUUUGGAUUAGGUCCUAGGUGUCCUCCAAAGUGACUUUCUACUUUUGUCUCCCAUGGGUUAGAUACUUGUUAAAGUUAAUGUAUUUGUUAAAUAAUUUAUGUAAACAGCAUUGCCGCUCGUCUGUGAGGUGUCUUUGUGCAAGUUAGCACUGGGCAACCCUUCUGUGGUUGGAUGUCCUAUGCCAGGGGUCAAACUGGGUAAACAGACAGUGGACUGGACUCUCGCCUGCUCGUCUCAUCUCCCUGCUGGGCUCUUGUGUGCUACAUUCUCUGUAGCCGUGUGUGAUGCUGUUAUCUGUAAAAGUGGUUAGAAAAGUCUCCAGCACAUAGUAACACACACACACACUCACACACACGCACAUGCACACUCAUAUAAAAUUGCUGGUGGUUAUUAUUAUUGACUGAGUUGCUUUCAGGGUAGACCGUUCUAGUAAUCACGAUAAUAUCAAUCAGAGCAUCCAGUGAAUCGGAUGCUUCUAACAGUGUUUGUAAGGGCAAGUAGUUCAUCCAGGGUCUCUCAUUGUACUACCCCUGCACCUCUUCCCUUCCCAUGAUAAAAGUGGCUCCAUUGAUGGAGCCCUUAACUACAUAGCAGUGCAUGCCAGGUGUGGGAUAGGAGCUCUUCAUUUAAUCAGCACAGGCCCCUUAGGUGGGGUGCACUGUUAUUAUCUGCGUUUCAACCUUAGACAGAAUGCACCAUCAUUGUCUGUGUUUUAUAGACACAUGGACCAGUGUUUACAAGAUGAAAGUUGUGACUGUAGCAGAGAGAUCUCUCAACAUCCUUUGGACACUCUCAGCAAGACUGUGAAGGUUCACCUGGGAGGUCUCUAGGGGAAAAUCAACAUGCUGUGACAAAGAGACUCCGUGUGAAUUUAGUGCCUUAGCAAAGGUAAGUCUGAGGGGAGCAUUCCAGAUGGGCAGAGUAGUUGUGCUGCAUGGAGUCUUUGAAGGACCCAGGUUCCUCCCAAUUCAUGGCUCCAUCAUCUUCCCUGUGAUAGAGCUGGCUGACAGCCUUGAGAAGAUUCUGCCCGGGGAACGGAAGAAAGCAGAGGUUGCUUGUGAUAACUUUGUGAUACUUUUGCUCCCCUUUCAUUGGAGAGAACUCAGUCAUGCCACCUUUGUCACAUGGCUAUACCUACCUGCUAGAAAGGCUGGGCAAUGCUCACCAGCUAUGGUAUUGGGAGAAAAGGAGAGCAGAUUCUGAUGGGUGGGUAGUCAGUCUGCAGUCCCCGCUAUAUAUGUAAAAAAGGAGCACAUAAUUAUCUCCAUAAAAAUAGCCUAUCAUCACUCUAAGAAAUCUUGAAGGAAAGAAAAUGUAUAAAAAUGGGAUAAAAUCACUUCUAACUCCACUGAAGUGGACUUGAAAAACAGACAAACUACCCAACGACCACUCCUUCUCACAAGCUCCCUGAUUUCCUUGUGGGGAACUGGAUCUCUCCUCCAGAAGAUGGAGUCUGGCGCGGUUGAGAACCACUUGCCUUGUUCUCCUCUAGCCCCAAACUAGGAGAAUGGAAUGUUCCUUCCCAAGAACUUGAAUUUCGAGGAGAGCUGACAAAGAUAUUAAAAGUGCUGGUGACACCUCCUUCUGGUGGCACCUUGACCUGUAUUCCUAUGUGAAGAUGUUCUUGGAAUUGCUGUCUAGAAGUUUCUAGAACUGCAAUUGUGUUACUUUUUAAGCUUGGCUUCCCUCUUUUCAAUCCCUUGAGCUCCCUGUGACCCAGUGAAACCCUGUUUUGUUGAAGUUAGUCGGAAUGGAUUCCUAUUUUUUGCCACUAACAAACUCUCACCAAUACAGUUGCUAUUCAGAGGAAAUUUCUGACACUUCUUUUACUUUCCUUCUAUUGUCUUCUAAAAUAUAUAUGCACAUAGUCAAUACUGUAUUGUUCACACAGUUUUAUACCUAUUGUUAAAUAUUUUUACAUGAUGGCUAUAGUUAAUAAUGUAUUCUAUAUUCAAAAAUUACUGAAAUAAUAGUAGAUAUUACCAGUAGAAAAAUAGUAUGUGAAAUGAUAGAUAUCUUAAUUGCUUCAAAAUAUAUAUGUAUAUCAAAACAUCAGUUUGGAUGCUAUAACUAUAUACAAUUUUUACUUGUCAAUUAUUCCUUAAUGAAGAGGGUGAAACAAAAAAUAAAAGUGAAAACAAAAUAAAUCUAUGAAAAACAUGAGUAUUUUUUUCAUUUUAUGAAAGUAGCUAUAGAAUAUUGAUUGCAUGAGUGGUCCAUAUUUUUAAGGGAGUUAAUUUUUGUAUCCUAAAUAAACACCUUUUCCUUUAUUAUAUAUCAUUUUAGGACCCUGGCGGUAUUUUAUUUAUUAAAGUUCUUAUAUAUGGUUGCAAAAGACUUAAUUUUCACUUAAAGUUUAUAACUAUUCAUAAUUACCUUCCCCUUUUGCAAUAGUGGAAUUGAACCCAGGUCUUAGCACUGACCUAUAUUCUCAGCUCUUUAAAAUUGUUUAUUUUGAGUUUCCCAGGCUGGGCUCCAACUUGCAGUCCUUCUGACUCAGCCCCCGAG
rnacentral:lncRNA from 1 species